GUGCUUGCUUCGGCAGCACAUAUACUACAA
rnacentral:snRNA from 1 species